AAGGCUUUGAUAUGCUAAUAUCUGAUCUUACCAGCAGAAAUUAAUUCUACAGACUCAACUCCAGGGCAUAUCUCCAGGCAGCAAAAAGGACAGGAACAGAAGAGAUUGCAAGGGGUCAAGCUCUGUCUUCAGAGCUAGGGACACAACCCCUGUGUUGUUCCAAAGGCCCAUGAAACUGCCUUGGCCUCUACAGUGGAGACUGCUAGG
rnacentral:lncRNA from 1 species